CAUCCUCCAAGGCUAAAUACUCCUGACUGACCGAUAGUGAACCAGUACCGUGAGGGAAAGGCGAAAAGAACCCCGGCGAGGGGAGUGAAAAAGAACCUGAAACCGUGUACGUACAAGCAGUGGGAGCACCCUUUGGGGUGUGACUGCGUACCUUUUGUAUAAUGGGUCAGCGACUUAUAUUCUGUAGCAAGGUUAACCGAAUAGGGGAGCCGGAGGGAAACCGAGUCUUAAUUGGGCGUUAAGUUGCAGGGUAUAGACCCGAAACCCGGUGAUCUAGCCAUGGGCAGGUUGAAGGUUGGGUAACACUAACUGGAGGACCGAACCGACUAAUGUUGAAAAAUUAGCGGAUGACCUGUGGCUGGGGGUGAAAGGCCAAUCAAACCGGGAGAUAGCUGGUUCUCCCCGAAAGCUAUUUAGGUAGCGCCUCGUGAAUUCAUCUCCGGGGGUAGAGCACUGUUUCGGCUAGGGGGCCAUCCCGGCUUACCAACCCGAUGCAAACUGCGAAUACCGGAGAAUGUUAUCACGGGAGACACACGGCGGGUGCUAACGUCCGUCGUGAAGAGGGAAACAACCCAGACCGCCAGCUAAGGUCCCAAAGUCAUGGUUAAGUGGGAAACGAUGUGGGAAGGCCCAGACAGCCAGGAUGUUGGCUUAGAAGCAGCCAUCAUUUAAAGAAAGCGUAAUAGCUCACUGGUCGAGUCGGCCUGCGCGGAAGAUGUAACGGGGCUAAACCAUGCACCGAAGCUGCGGCAGCGACGCUGAUGCGUUGUUGGGUAGGGGAGCGUUCUGUAAGCCUGCGAAGGUGGCCUGUGAGGGUUGCUGGAGGUAUCAGAAGUGCGAAUGCUGACAUAAGUAACGAUAAAGCGGGUGAAAAGCCCGCUCGCCGGAAGACCAAGGGUUCCUGUCCAACGUUAAUCGGGGCAGGGUGAGUCGACCCCUAAGGC
rnacentral:rRNA from 1 species